rnacentral:rRNA from 1 species
AGUGAACGCUGGCGGUAGGCCUAACACAUGCAAGUCGAACGGCAGCACAGUAAGAGCUUGCUCUUACGGGUGGCGAGUGGCGGACGAGUGCGAGAUACAUCGGAAUCUACUUUUUCGUGGGGGAUAACGUAGGGGAACUUACGCUAAUACCGCAUACGACCUACGGGUGAAAGCAUGGGAUCUUCGGACCUUGCGCGAUUGAAUGAGCCGAUGUCGGAUUAGCUAGUUGGCGGGGUAAAGGCCCACCAAGGCGACGAUCCGUAGCUGGUCUGAGAGGAUGAUCAGCCACACUGGAACUGAGACACGGUCCAGACUCCUACGGGAGGCAGCAGUGGGGAAUAUUGGACAAUGGGCGCAAGCCUGAUCCAGCCAUACCGCGUGGGUGAAGAAGGUCUUCGGGUUGUAAAGCCCUUUUGUUGGGAAAGAAAAGCAGUAGGUUAAUACCCCGCUGUUCUGACGGUACCAAAAGAAUAAGCACCGGCUAACUUCGUG